AGUAAAAUUGUUGGAUUGAAUGGUAAUUCUGAAUUUAUCACUUUGAGAAAUGACCAAACUGUUUUCCACAGAGGCUAUACCAUUUUCCAUUUCUACCAGCAAU
rnacentral:pre_miRNA from 1 species